GGAGGGUAUCAGGGGGGGUCAGGGGGGGAUCUAACCCUGCUUCCCCAGACUGGCAGGCUCUUCAUCCACGGGGCUUUGACUGGCAGGCUCUUCAUCCACGGGGCUUUGACUGGCAGGCUCUUCAUCCACGGGGCUUUGACUGGGGCACGUCCAGGAGAACAUCUCCAUCCAGCUCGACACCACCCUGACACGUUCCGUCGUCGAGUCUCUUCUUGUUGAAAAGACAUAUUUUUUGGGUACAAAAUGAAUUGUGAGCGAGAAAGAAAGACAGAGACCUUACUGAGACAUCUGGAGAGAAGAUAGCCACGGGAUUGGAUACCAUGGUACCACAUAGUUUGUUGCAUUUGAAUUCCUAUAAGACAGACUUUUUUUCUAAAAAAAAAGAAAGAAAUAUAUAAGAAAUCUAUAAAUUAUGACUGAAUACUGUGCUUUGUUAUCUUGAAGGGGCAUAACUCUUUUCACUGUGAGGUUUCUAUGAUACGACAAACUGCUUUUCUUGCCAAACCUAACUGCUCUAAGGCAUGUCUGAUUGUGGUAUCUUCAGCAUUCGUUUGUUUGUUUGUUUGUUUGUUUGUUUUGAGUUUUUAAAUGUUGGGUAUUUUGUAUCACCUCUGUAUUCAUCAGUUUUAUUCUUCUUCUUCUUCUUAUGGUUGUUAUUAUUAUGCAUAUUAUUAUGAUUCCGUUUCAACGUGAAGGAACAAAGAAGGCCAUUUGCUCUGCUUAGAAGCCUGCCUAAGCUCAUAUGGUACCAACUGAUCAACUCCAGUCAGUGUCCAGUUGAACAGUGUUUCAGCCCCAAUGAGCCACACUCCCUGGCACACACACACACACACACACACACACACACACACACACACACACACACACAAAUAAUUCAAGCAUGUUUCCUUGCAUGGUUAAAUCACGCGUUUCAUUCUUUUUUUUUUUCUAAGUCCAUGAAGAGCAUAGUAGCUUUUCCGACAAAGGUUUUGGUGAUGAUGAGGAAAAAGAAAAAUGCUGCUAUCUUAAUUCUGGCAGCAUGCAGCUUAUUCUUCUUCUUAAGACACUACAUACAGUGACAGAUGGGAAGACCUAGUCGUCCAAUUAAGACUUAAGUCGUUGAAAUGAUCAUGAGCCGUCCACACUGCACGUGUGCGACGAGAUGGAUUUGCCUUAAAUGAUCAGUGCCCCUCACAGAGGGAUGUACACAGUGCCUCUCUGCCAGAAACAGUCGCCCAGAGAGAUAGAGAGAGAGGUGUCUCCCUCCCGCAAGAGAGUGUGUGUAUUAAACAGCUCGAUCGCUGGAAGCGACCACAGAGCAUUGUGUUACUCGCAUAGGGAGAAUAUUAGUGGACGGGCUUUUUGUUGUUUCUUUUUUGUUUUGUUUAUUUGUUUGUUUGUUUUUUCCGAUCUGCCCACCACUCCUGCUGGUCUCGCUCAGCCCCUGGUUUCCUGCAUCUCACUGUGGAUCCACCCCACUGGCCGUGACAGUUGAUCAAGUGUGUACCAAAAACAGCUUGUGCCUUUGACCCUCCCCUCAGACACACACACACACACACACUGUGGGGAGGUCAAAGGUUAAAGGUUAGCGUUGAAGGGUUAAUGACCUUGAGCUGGAGUACAUUAAGGCUUUGAGGGGGGGGGAGUGGAGGAGGGGAGAAUGGGGGGCGGGGGGGGUGCAGGUGGAUUUUAAUGAAGUAUUUUAGGACUACUGAAAACUCACACUGGGGCCUCUGUGUCUGGGUCAGGCAUGAAGAACCCUGAUCAUCUUUUUUAUGUUUGUUUGGUUUUAAUUUGUUCUUCUGGGUUUUUUUUGUUUUCCUUUACUUUAGUCGAAGGACUAGAAAAGGGGUAAGCAUUUCAACUUUUUUUGCAGAUGAAAGUUGAAAAAGACUGACAAAACAUAGAAAUAACAUUUCCCCUUGAAAAAAAUAAAAGUGUCUGUUUUGAUUUUGGUUUUCAUUCAGUGAGUAUCCUUACCUCACUUAAACUACGCCGGCACCACACUCACUUCUGUGUGUGCUCAUUCGUCACUUUGUCUUUGACACACGACCGGUACGUAUGGUUCCUUGAUACUGUCCACCGUAAGGAGGAGUAACCGAGGAAGCCCGACUUAGAAACAGCAGGUCCUUAAAUAUUUCACAUGCUGCAUUGAGGUGGAUGCCCUUGUUGACAGACUCUCUUGCAGUUCCUGUAAUGAAGAUGCCAUCACUGUUC
ensembl:lncRNA